rnacentral:lncRNA from 1 species
AGGAGGCAAGUCAAUUGACUAUGAAUCUUCUUUAAAGGAACCUUAAUAUCGUCUGUAAGACCAAGGAUUAUCCCCAGCCGCAGUCCUGAGGGGAUGGAGUGUAGCACAUCAAAUCAUUUAUGUUGUCAUAAAAUCCCAAACUAUGACGUAACUAGCAGAUAAAAGUAAUGCUUUCCCAAAGACCAGGAUGACAACAUCUCAGUAUCUUAUAUGUGUUUCUGGCAAGCAAUGUUAAAAGAAUAAUAGUGUAGCUUCAAGUUGAAUUGAAUUCUCACAUGGAUUACAGUUAAACUACUCUUGUAAUAUUAGCGAUAAUCUAGAAAACUUUUAGAACAGAAAAAAAUUCUAUAAAGGCUAUGGUAGUUACUCCAGUUUUUGUUGUUGUUCAUAAAGCUACAUUAUUUAACGUAAAGGAAUAUUAUUCUAAGAUCAGUUUUUGAAAAUGUUUAUUGUAGGAAUAAAUUUGUUUUCUCAUUGAAAUUAUUCAAGACUCUUUCUUUUACUUAGAUUAAAUUCUUUCUCCGCGAAGCUCAGGGACAUUCUAGAAACUUCAUAUUUCUAGCCAGAAAAUUAAGACAUGGUUUUAUAAGAUCAGUCCUAGUGUUUCUUAUCUCUGUUUGCUGCAAUUAACAAAUAUAAUAAAAGAUGAAUCUGUGAUAUGAGAAAUGAAAUUUAAAUUUUCUGGUAUUUAACUGUUUUUACUUUUUGAUUAAACAUCAUUAAACAAUUAUUGGAAUUUUGAAAAUACAUGGAAAAUAAACUUAUCCAUGUAAGUUUAAAGUAGCUCCCAUGGUAUUUAUAAAUUAAGGGGGUAUGUGGAACUGAAUAAAUAGGCCUCUCUGUGCCUUUGGUUAGGGAUCUAUAUUUUUCUUUCCCAGAGUUCAAGGAAGAAGUACUUUUAUAAAGAAAGAUUUCUGCAGGAGCUCCUGAGGUGGCUCAGUGGUUAACGAACCUGACUAGUAUCCAUGAGGACGUGGGUUCGAUCCCUGGCCUUACUCAGUGGGUUAAGAAUCCGACAUGGGGAGUUCCCGUAGUGGUGCAGUGGUUAACGAAUCCGACUAGGAACCAUGAGGUUGCAGGUUCGAUCCCGGCCUUGCUCAGUGGGUUAAGGAUCUGGCGUUGCUGUGAGCUGUGGUGUAGGUUGCAGACACGGCACGGAUCCUGCGUUGCUGUGGCUCUGGCGUAGGCCGGUGGCUACAGCUCCGAUUCAACCCCUAGCCUGGGAACCUCCAUAUGCCUCCACAGUGGCCCAAGAAAUGGCCAGUUCAGAUUCAACCCCUAGCCAUGUGUCGCAUGUGUGGCCCUAAAAAGACAAAAAAAAAAAGAAAAGAAGUAUUUUUGUAUAAUCAAGUGUAUGCAUUUGAUGCAUUUGAUCCUUUACACAUUCAAAUAGAAGUACAGAGACGCAUCAGUCUGAAAUUGUCUGUACUCAGCCUCAAGUUAGAUCACUGAAGCCUUAGAUGUUCCAGCAGAGCCUGAUUAAGAGGCAGAGGAAAUGUAAAAAAUGUGCAAAUGAUUUAAAAACACAGUGUUGCUCCUGAGUGUGCUACUGCAGGAGGAGAUUACGAAGGUGUGGUCCCCACUGCUAGUUGGAAUUAAAACUGCCAUGUAAAAUCCCCUGGUGUCCAGGUCUUCAGUCAUGCAGACUUUUUACAAAAGAUGUAGGUAUUUUGAGUCAGCAAAAGAAUAAUGAAAAUGUGAGGUUUUAUAUGAAAGAAGAAUAUUAUAUGAUUUAUGUAUUUUAGCAAGGGUGUGAGAGGGGAAAAUAACUCUCUCUUAAUUAACUUCUUAUGUCCUUGCCUGAUUUAGGAUUAUAUACAAUUAACGUAAUAAGUUAAAAUGUCAUGAAGUAUUUUUUGAACAAAUUUUUUUUUUUUUUUUUGUCUUUUUGCCUUUUCUUGAGCCGCUCCCGCAGCAUAUGGAUGUUCCCAGGCUAGGGAUCUAAUCAGAGCCAUAGCCGCCGGCCUAUGCCAGAGCCACAGCAAUGCGGGAUCCGAGCCGAGUCUGCGACCUAGACCACAGCUCAUGGUAACGCCGGAUCCUUAACCCACUGAGCAAGGGCAGGGAUCAAACCCGAAACCUCAUGGUUCCUAGUCGGAUUUGUUAACCACUGCGCCAUGAUGGGAACUCCACAAAUAUAUUUUUUUUUUUUUGGCUGUGCCUGUGGCAUGCGAAAGUUCCCAGGCCAGGAAUCCAACCCGAGCCACAGCAGUGACUUAAGCCUUGCCCUGACAAUGCUGGAUCCCCAACCUGCUGCACUACAAGGGAACUGCAUGAAGUAUUUUUGAUACUGGGUGUUUUUGUAAUUGUUGCUCUUCAGUGAGUCAACCGUUAGAUGGAAGAGCAUCAUUCUCUUAACUUCAGAUCCAUAAUUUGGUAGGAGAUGCCCAGGAUUAUCUUGGCUUUUCUAUGGUUGUAGAGAAAUAACUCUCCUUCACAGCCACCACUCAGAAAUGUAUUAAAUUUAUUUAUACUUUCGUCAGUUGUCAGGAGAAGUAGGAGAGUGGUCUUGGAAGGUAAAAGUUACGAAUUAGAGCAAAUGUCUCAAGCCGCUUUCCUGUUCUCUUGCCCUUUGUCAAUUGAUUAAAUGUUGAGUACAUUCUCCAGCCCUGUCUCGUUUUGAGUACAGCUGUAGACAUAGUAUGUAUGUGAGAACAAGGGUACAACUGCUGUAAAAAUAAUAGAAACCUAAAUGUCCAUUGGCAGAGAAAUGGAUAGAGAAGCUGUGGUAUUUGGUUACCAAAGAGGAAAGUGGGGGAGGGAGAAAUUAGGAGGUUGGGAUUAACAGAUACACCACUACUAUAUAUAAAAUAGAUAAGCAAUAAGGACCUAUACAGCACAGGGAACUAUAUUCAGUUAUCUUGUAGUAACCUAUAAAGGAAAAGAAUCUGGUAAAGAAUAGAUAAAUAUGUAUAACCGAAUCACUGCUAUACACAUGAAACUAACAUGACGGUAUAAAUCAACUGUACUUUAAUUAAAAAAUAAAAUAAUUUUAAAGAUGAAAACAAGUAAAAGAAACAAUAGUUCUGUUGGCCCCAUGCAUUCCUCUUGUCCUUAAAGUAGAUUUUGUCAACUUAACUUAAAAUUCCUUUAAUUCCAAUUUAAAGUUGAACUCAAUCAUAGAUAGCUAGAAGCUUGGGUUUGGAGAUGACUAUAGAUAACAGAAGAUUUUUGCCAAGAUCACCUUAUACUUUCUUUAUCAGAUGCUCUUUCUUAAAUGAUAGGUUCAAGUAUUUAAAAAAAAAUUCCAAAUAUAAUCUUAUUAAACUUUUUUUUUCUUUUUUAAUGGUCGCACCUAUGGCAUAUAGAAGUUCCCAGGCCAGGGAUUGAACCCACGCCUCCACAGCGACCUAAGUUGUUGCAGUCAGAUUCUUAACCCACUGUGCCACGGUGGGAACUCCAAAUAUAAUCUUAAAACGUUUUUUUUUUUUCAGUUUUCUCCUUGAAAUUAUUUAUAGACUUUUUCCUCACAUAGAUUUAGUUCAUUUUCCAGAUAGUUCAGGGACAUUUUAGAAACUUCCAACUUCUACACAGAAAUGAAAGACAUUCUUUUAUAGAGACAGAGUGGAUCAACCUUGGUGUUUCUUAUCUUUCUCUACUGCUGUUAGCAAAUGUAAUAAAAGUUAAAUCUCUUUACAGUACAGAUAUGAGAAAGAAAUCUAAAUUUUCUCAUGUUGGAUAAUUUAUAUUUAAAAAAAGUAAACAUUAGUUUAAGUCCUGAUAUUAUGCCAGGAACUAACAUGCAUGGCCAUUGGCUCUCGUUGGGUGGAGUGAUUUUUCUUAAAAAACCUCUUUAUGAGGAAAAAUCUUUGGCCCUGAGUUUCUAAUGUCAUUGAAGGCCUCUGAUAAUUUGCUUAUAAAAGUUUUCUGAGGGAGUUCCUGUGGUGGCUCAGCGGAAAUGAACCCUACUAGUAUCCCUGAGAAUGUGGGAUCGAUCCCUGGCCUCCCUCAAUGGGUUAAGGAUCCGGCGUUGCCAUGAGCUGUGGGGUAGGUGGCAGAAACGGCUCAGAGCCCAAGUUGCUGUGGCUGUGAUGUAGGCCAGUAGCUGCAGCUCCAGUUUGACCCCUAGCAUGGGAACUUCCAUAUGCCACAGGUACGGCCAUAAAAAGACCCCCGCCCCCCAAAAAAAAAGUUUUCUGACAAUGUAUAUGAAUUUCUUUGAAAAAUUACAGGAUAGAUCAUUUAAAUGUAAUUAAAAAAAAAAAAACAACAACCCAAUAAUCACAAUAUUGUUCACUCUGGUUUUCUGAUACAGCAAAAUGUGUGUUGAUAUUUUCAGCCACCUUGAUAUAGGUACUUUCCUGUUGCUGUUUUGGCUGUAAAGCAGACAGCCUUCUCAGAGUGACUCCUUUGUGAGUGUGAUUGCCCAGUUAUGCGUGAGUAUGGUCAGCGUGGAAAUCCAAUUCAAGUAGCAGAAUAGCAUCUGUGAGUUGAAAUAUAAGAGCGUGUGUCUGUGUGUGUGUGUUUAGGGGGUGGAGGACAACACAUACAGAUUGAAGCAACAGUAAGUGGGGCCGAAAUCCUCUGUAAAGAGAAUUGGUUAUUGCAGCUGAUAAAUGUGGCAAUGGGUAGUUAAAACAUAACGUUUUCCUCAGGGUUGUCUUAGAACAGUUUGUGGUGUUGAGAACCUGCCUUGGGUUUCUUAAUAAUGUUUUCCUAGCUGCCUAAUUAGGGUGUGCUACUAAUGCGCUCCAGAAAGUUUCAGCUCCAAAAGAAGUUGCCAAAAGAGGAGAAGCCUUGGUGUGUACCAGUCUGGAAAAGUACCAGAAUGCUGCCUGUGUUUAGGGGUGAGAGGUGGAAGCGGCUCCCCAGUGCCCUGAGUGCAUCAUCAUGACAUGCGGUGGGCAGCUUUGUCAGCACUCCCUCCUCAUCUGUGUGUGGUUUUAUCCCCUACAUCUGAGCUUCCGUAUUUUUCUAGGUCCGCUCGUGGGCUCAGCAACAGGAUUCAGCCCUGAGUGUGUUGCUUGUUUCCACCCGCAUAGACAGUAUAUCACUGGGAACGUUUUUGGCUGCAACUGAAAAGCUCUGCACUGGGCUAGACAGACGUUCAUUUUCCUUAGGUAACAGGAGGUCGAGCUGCUCGGCAGUCUGGGUUCACACAGCUGCACCAGUGCUGUUAAGGACCAGGCUCUUACUGUUUUGGGGGAGGGCAUCUUAGUUAUGAAAAUUUUCAGGGAGGUAAUCCUUCUGGUGACUUCAGCCUGUAUCACCUUGACAAGAACUGUGUAUGUCUGCCAUCAGCUGCUGGGGGGCGGGGCGGGGGGCUCUUGUGUUUUCAUCUGUGCACGUGGCUGCCCUGGAAGGUAGUUGGUGUUGUGUUAAUAAGAGAGAGGACUUGGGGAGUUCUCUUGUGGUGCAGUGGGUUGAGGGUCCAGCAUCACUGCACCAGCUUAGGUCGCUGCUGUGGCACCACAGGUUUGAUCCCUGGCUCAGGAACUUCCA